rnacentral:rRNA from 1 species
UUGACCUCGGAUCAGGCAGGGAUACCCGCUGAACUUAAGCAUAUCAAUAAGCGGAGGAAAAGAAACCAACAGGGAUUGCCUCAGUAACGGCGAGUGAAGCGGCAACAGCUCAAAUUUGAAAUCUGGCUCUUUUAGGGUCCGAGUUGUAAUUUGUAGAGGAUGCUUCGGCGUCGGCUCCGGUCUAAGUUCCUUGGAACAGGACGUCAUAGAGGGUGAGAAUCCCGUAUGUGAUCGGUUGCCCUUGCCAUGUGAAGCUCCUUCGACGAGUCGAGUUGUUUGGGAAUGCAGCUCUAAAUGGGAGGUAAAUUUCUCCUAAAGCUAAAUACUGGCCAGAGACCGAUAGCGCACAAGUAGAGUGAUCGAAAGAUGAAAAGCACUUUGGAAAGAGAGUCAAAAAGUACGUGAAAUUGUUGAAA